AAUAAUCUUAUUUUUGUUUUUCGUAUCCAAUAUUUGACCAUUCGGCUUAUUCGAGAAAUUUAUAUAAAAACAUAAAAAAAUUACUCACGUAUAAAAUACUAUUUAUAUUUUAUCAUCUAGUAAUAAUAAAAAUUUUAAUCACAAAAAAAUUUAAAUAAGACAAAUAGUCAAACGUUGGACACGGAAAAACA
rfam:Oryza brachyantha chromosome 8, whole genome shotgun sequence.